rnacentral:ncRNA from 2 species
UACGAGGGGGGCGAGCGUUGUUCGGAAUUAUUGGGCGUAAAGGGUGCGUAGGCGGUUUGGUAAGUCUUGUGUGAAAUCUACAGGCUCAACUUGUAGUCUGCACGAGAAACUGCCGGGCUUGAGUAUGGGAGAGGUGAGUGGAAUUCCUGGUGUAGCGGUGAAAUGCGUAGAUAUCAGGAGGAACACCUGUGGCGAAAGCGGCUCACUGGACCAUAACUGACGCUGAUGCACGAAAGCUAGGGGAGCAAACAGG